UGCCAGAGCGGUGGCCACAGAGUCAGAACAGCCUCUCCCCAGUGGGGAUCAUCUCUCUCUGCCAAAGCAACAGCGGUCCCUGCCCCAACCAGACUACCCCACUCAGUGGAGUUACGGAUGCUGCUCCAGCAUCCUAACACUGCCCAGCUGGCGCCUGCCUGUGCUCACCCACACCCCCAGGCCGGCCUUCCCUGCAGCCUGGGCUUGGCCACCUUGGCCUGAUUGAGCACUGAGGCCUCCUGGGCACCCAGCCCCAUCACUGCACCUGCUGCUUCCAGCCCCACCCCACUGGCUCAGGGGUCCUUCCCAGCGGCGCUGAUCAUGAAAUCAACAUGCAAGCAAGUCGUCUCAGGAAACUUUUUAAUGAAAGUGUCGGCCACGGUGGUGUGUAGGUGGCUGAGCUCAGAUUGCAGCUGCUAAGACACCAGCCACUUACCAAGAGAAAGCCAGGCUGCUUCAAACCCAGGGCCCGAGGCAAAAAAGCAUCACUUCCAGCCGGGGAGUCUGGAAGCCACGCCUUGUGGGAGGUCACACUGGCAUCUAGGCCUUCGCCUGCAUUGCAGAAGGAGAGCCGGGUCCCCCUCCUGGAGAACGCUGCGUUCCCCAGCCCCACACCGGCUUUGCCACCACACAGGCUUUUGAGGCAGGAGCAGGUACCGUUGGGAAUGAAUUCUGUGCUGUUGUUGCCAAUCCUGGAAUGAAGUGAGACUCCCCUCCUCAGCCUCCUGACAGAGUCAUCUCAUUUCUUCUUUG